CACGUUUGUCUAGGAAUGGCUCGAGCGUCCAGGAUAAAAACAAUUGUGGAAUGAGGAUGGGAGGCCGUCUCGUAACACUGGCCCCCAGUCACGCCUGGUCCGUUUGGUAAAACGAGCAUUAUUAGGCCCGUUAACGACGCCAAUAAAUAACGAAAGGCACGGAAGGCUUGCCUACACGAUUCAGCACGCUCUCGCUUUCGGACGGACGGGCGAUAAAGGGUUCGAGCUCCCGUUCGAAUCGGCGAGACGAAUCGCAAACGGCCUCAUGAAUGCAGCGCGCGCGACGCCGAUCGACAACACCCCGUAUAAUGCACCAUGCACCGGUCGUGGCGAUACGAAUUUUAUACGACUUGUAACAAAAUAUGAAAUCGAUGUGAGAAUAGUCGAGUCGUAAUCUUUGAGAAAAAGCGUGGAUAUAUCACAACUAAAAUGAUUAGGAAAAGUGCUUUUCUUUCCAAAAUCAGAUCUAUGGGGAAGGAGAUAGACGGUAAAGGGGGAACAGAGUGGGGUGCGAGAAGCGAUCGCAAAAUUGGAAAACGAUCGGGCGGGGCGCGAACCCUCCCCUGACAUGUGACACGCGUCUAGACAUUCUGGCCGACGAUCUCUUUUUUUUUUCUCACGAGGCACCGGGUCCAGGACGAAAGGCCGCGACGAAUGAGCCGUGAAAAUGACGAGCGAACUGUAUGCAAACCGCCACUACAUAAUAAGUCGUCCGAGAUGUGUAUAUUUGUCCGCGUCGUCGAUUUUAUGACCCAUCCGAUUGCGAAAUCAGAGUAUAAUCAUAUAAGAUAAUAUCAUGUACUACUAUAUAAUUAACAGAAAUAUUUUUAUUUAAAAAUAAGAGUUUUUUAAGUUGAUUAUUUCUAAACGAUAAUUAGAUGGAAAGUAAUUAGGUAGCUAAAAUCAUUUUUUAAUGUUCAAUGUUAAAUUAAGCAGUGAAAUAAUUGUAAAAAAAACUGAAUAAAAAAACUAAA
rnacentral:lncRNA from 13 species